UACAUGGGGUGCAAACGUUGCUCGGAAUUAUUGGGCGUAAAGCGCACGUAGGCGGCCAACUAAGUCGGAUGUGAAAUCCCCAGGCUUAACCUGGGAACUGCAUCCGAUACUGGAUGGCUUGAAUCCGGGAGAGGGAUGCAGAAUUCCAGGUGUAGCGGUGAAAUGCGUAGAUAUCUGGAGGAAUACCGGUGGCGAAGGCGGCAUCCUGGACCGGCAUUGACGCUGAGGAGGCGAAAAGCUGAGGGGAGCAAACGGG
rnacentral:rRNA from 1 species